rnacentral:lncRNA from 10 species
GCAGCUCUGUAAUGAGAUCACCAUGGCCAGCCUCCCACCCGAGCAAAAACAAGGUUAGCCUGCAGCAGAGCCGCAGCAGCAACAGCCACCAAAGCGGGGGCUGAAAGGGAAGAGAACUUAGAUUUGACCUGUGCAAGGACCUCAGCAGCUUGGACACAGCCCACUGCAGAGGCAAAACCACAGCUGCUUGGGUUGAAGUCCCCAUCCUGGCCUCCUCUCAGCCGCCAGACAUGGCCAGGAACCCUGUGGUUCCCAAGAACAAUUUAAAGAUCACUCUUUGAUUUGAAAGACCACCAUUAUCAUUUUACUAAAUUCUUAUAUAUACUUGUGCCUUUUCCAACUUUCAGUUCUCUUAAGAAAAACAUCCACUGUAGCUUUAUAAAAUACCUUAGUAUCAGCUAGGUCCAAGUCUCCAGGCAGGACUAUCAAAAUGGACUCCUUCUUCCUAUCAGCUCUAGAACCCCAGAGGACUUGCCCAGUAGGCCAGCUGAGCACUUACCAGGCAGCAUCUCCCUGGCCUUCCACAGUCUCGCCUGUCUGUCUCUGGCCUUGGUGGACCUGGCUCCCUCCCUAGGAGGCUUUUGCCCUCAGCUUGAAUACAGUUCCUGGUGCAUCAAAGCUGUAAGUUCUCAGCUGCUGGCCUGCACUCAUCACCUCUUCCUACAAAUAAACAUUUGGAAAAAAGUCCAUCUUCAAUAUGCUUAAAGAGAAGGGUAGGAGAUAAGGAGAAAGAACAGAUACGGUUUUUUUCCCCUUUAAGGCCUUUAGAUUUUGAGGUACUGUAAGGGGCCUAGAAGGACAAAAGGCUUUCAUUCCCUCUUCCUUUUGGCAGGCAGGUUAUCAGUCCUUGGCAGAAGGGCCCAGCCCUAUCCUUUUCUGUAUCAAACAAAAUCCUUGAGGUUGGUAUACAAGUUAAGGCUGAAAAAAGGCCUUAAAUUCCCAGUAAAGAAUGUGAAAGCAAGCAUGUAAAAUAAACUGGUCUUCAUG